rnacentral:rRNA from 1 species
GACGAAGGGGGCUAGCGUUGUUCGGAAUUACUGGGCGUAAAGCGCGUGUAGGCGGUUGUUCAAGUCGGGUGUGAAAGCCUUGAGCUCAACUCAAGAAAUGCACUCGGUACUGGAUGACUAGAGGACCGGAGAGGAUAGUGGAAUUCCCAGUGUAGUGGUGAAAUACGUAGAGAUGUGGAGGAAUACCGAUGGCGAAGGCAGCCCCCUGGGACGUCACUGACGCUCAUGCACGAAAGCGCGGGGAGCAAACAGG